GCUAGACCGACUCUUUCUCUCAUCCCGAUUUUAUUUUCCACUCGUUUUCUCUCCCUCUCUUCUUUCUUCUUCUAUUUUUCUUCUUUCGUCUUCUCCUAGUUUCUUCUACUUUUCUCUUUUUUUUUUCUUUCUUCCUCCUUUUCUCUUCUUUUUUUUUUCUUCUUUUUUCUUUUCUUCCUCCUUUGUUUUCUUAUCUUCUUUCCUUUUUGUCAUUCCUCUCUAUUUUUCUUCUCUUUACUUUUUUUCUCCUUCUCUUCUUUCUUCCUUUUCUCUUCUUUUCGUCUCUUUUUCUUCUCCUGCUUCUUUUCUAAACGACCUUCUCAAUGAGCCCGCCUUUCACUACAAGAAAGCGUCCACUACAACAGAAUUA
rnacentral:lncRNA from 1 species